ACCGGAUAGGACGAAAGUUUAAAGAUGCUCCUGGCAUCACUGAUGGAUGAGCCUGCGGCGCAUUAGCUAGUUGGUGGGGUAAAGGCCUACCAAGGCGACGAUGCGUAGCCGACCUGAGAGGGUGAACGGCCACACUGGGACUGAGACACGGCCCAGACUCCUACGGGAGGCAGCAGUAGGGAAUCUUCGGCAAUGGGCGAAAGCCUGACCGAGCAACGCCGCGUGAAUGAAGAAGGCCUUCGGGUUGUAAAAUUCUGUUAUAAGGGAAGAAAGGUGAUAGGAGGAAAUGACUAUCAAUUGACGGUACCUUAUGAGAAAGCCACGGCUAACUACGUGCCAGCAGCCGCGGUAAUACGUAGGUGGCAAGCGUUAUCCGGAAUUAUUGGGCGUAAAGAGCGCGCAGGUGGUUAAUUAAGUCUGAUGUGAAAGCCCACGGCUUAACCGUGGAGGGUCAUUGGAAACUGGUUGACUUGAGUGCAGAAGAGGGAAGUGGAAUUCCAUGUGUAGCGGUGAAAUGCGUAGAGAUAUGGAGGAACACCAGUGGCGAAGGCGGCUUCCUGGUCUGCAACUGACACUGAGGCGCGAAAGCGUGGGGAGCAAAAGGGAUUAGAUACCCUGGUAGUCCACGCCGUAAACGAUGAGUGCUAAGUGUUGGGGGUCGAACCUCAGUGCUGAAGUUAACGCAUUAAGCACUCCGCCUGGGGAGUACGGUCGCAAGACUGAAACUCAAAGGAAUUGACGGGGACCCGCACAAGCGGUGGAGCAUGUGGUUUAAUUCGAAGCAACGCGAAGAACCUUACCAGGUCUUGACAUACCGUUGACGCCUCUAGAGAUAGAGGGUUUCCUUCGGGGACAAUGGAUACAGGUGGUGCAUGGUUGUCGUCAGCUCGUGUCGUGAGAUGUUGGGUUAAGUCCCGCAACGAGCGCAACCCUUACCCCCAGUAGCCAGCGGAAGAGCCGGGCACUCUGGGGGGACUGCCGGGGAUAACCCGGAGGAAGGUGGGGAUGACGUCAAAUCAUCAUGCCCCUUAUGGGCUGGGCUACACACGUGCUACAAUGGCGUAAACAAAGGGAGGCGAGCCUGCGAGGGUAAGCGGACCCCAAAAAUAACGUCCCAGUUCGGACUGCAGCCUGCAACCCGGCUGCACGAAGCUGGAAUCGCUAGUAAUCGCGGAUCAGAAUGCCGCGGUGAAUACGUUCCCGGGUCUUGUACACACCGCCCGUCACACCAUGGGAGCCGGGAAUGCCCGAAGUCUGUGGCCCAAGGGAAAGGGGGGAGCAGCCGAAGG
rnacentral:rRNA from 1 species